rnacentral:rRNA from 1 species
CUACGGGAGGCACCAGUGGGGGAUAUUGCACAAUGGGCGAAAGCCUGAUGCAGCAACGCCGCGUGAAGGAAGAAGGUCUUCGGAUCGUAAACUUCUAUCAGCAGGGAAGAAAAUGACUGUUCCUGACUAAGAAGCCCCGGCUAACUACGUGCCAGCAGCCGCGGUAAUACGUAGGGGGCAAGCGUUAUCCGGAUUUACUGGGUGUAAAGGGUACGUAGGCGGUUCGAUAAGUCAGAUGUGAAAGCCCGGAGCUCAACUCCGGGACUGCAUUUGAAACUAUCGAACUAGAGUGCAGGAGAGGUAAGUGGAAUUCCUAGUGUAGCGGUGAAAUGCGUAGAUAUUAGGAAGAACACCAGUGGCGAAGGCGACUUACUGGACUGUAACUGACGCUGAGGUACGAAAGCGUGGGGAGCGAACAGGAUUAGAUACCCGAGUAGUC